rnacentral:rRNA from 1 species
GUGGGGAAUAUUGGGCAAUGGGCGAAAGCCUGACCCAGCAACGCCGCGUGAAGGAAGAAGGUCUUCGGAUCGUAAACUUCUAUCCUUGGUGAAGAUAAUGACGGUAGCCGAGAAGGAAGCCCCGGCUAACUACGUGCCAGCAGCCGCGGUAAUACGUAGGGGGCAAGCGUUGUCCGGAAUGAUUGGGCGUAAAGGGCGCGUAGGUGGCCUGGUAAGUCUGGAGUGAAAGUCCUGCUUUUAAGGUGGGAAUUGCUUUGGAUACUGUCGGGCUUGAGUGCAGGAGAGGUAAGUGGAAUUCCCGGUGUAGCGGUGAAAUGCGUAGAGAUCGGGAGGAACACCAGUGGCGAAGGCGACUUACUGGACUGUAACUGACGCUGAGGCGCGAAAGCGUGGGGAGCAAACAGGAUUAGAUACCCUGGUAGUCC